rnacentral:rRNA from 1 species
CUCGAACUCUGGCAUUGAUUGCGGCUUGCUCAUGAUUUACAUUUGAGUGAGUGGCGAACUGGUGAGUAACACGUGGGAAACCUGCCCAGAAGCGGGGGAUAACACCUGGAAACAGAUGCUAAUACCGCAUAACAACUUGGACCGCAUGGUCCGAGUUUGAAAGAUGGCUUCGGCUAUCACUUUUGGAUGGUCCCGCGGCGUAUUAGCUAGAUGGUGGGGUAACGGCUCACCAUGGCAAUGAUACGUAGCCGACCUGAGAGGGUAAUCGGCCACAUUGGGACUGAGACACGGCCCAAACUCCUACGGGAGGCAGCAGUAGGGAAUCUUCCACAAUGGACGAAAGUCUGAUGGAGCAACGCCGCGUGAGUGAAGAAGGGUUUCGGCUCGUAAAACUCUGUUGUUAAAGAAGAACAUAUCUGAGAGUAACUGUUCAGGUAUUGACGGUAUUUAACCAGAAAGCCACGGCUAACUACGUGCCAGCAGCCGCGGUAAUACGUAGGUGGCAAGCGUUGUCCGGAUUUAUUGGGCGUAAAGCGAGCGCAGGCGGUUUUUUAAGUCUGAUGUGAAAGCCUUCGGCUCAACCGAAGAAGUGCAUCGGAAACUGGGAAACUUGAGUGCAGAAGAGGACAGUGGAACUCCAUGUGUAGCGGUGAAAUGCGUAGAUAUAUGGAAGAACACCAGUG